rnacentral:rRNA from 1 species
GAUGAACGCUAGCGGCAGGCUUAAUACAUGCAAGUCGAGGGGCAGCGCGGGUAGCAAUACUUGGCGGCGACCGGCGCACGGGUGCGUAACACGUAUACAACCUACCUUAAACAGGGGGAUAUCCUUUCGAAAGAGAGAUUAAUACCCCGUAAUACAUUGAGUGGCAUCACUUGGUGUUGAAAGCUCCGGCGGAUAGAGAUGGGCACGCGCAGGAUUAGAUAGUUGGUGGGGUAACGGCUCACAAAGUCUGCGAUCUUUCGGGGGCCUGAGAGGGUGAUCCACCACACUGGUACUGAGACACGGACCAGACUCCUACGGGAGGCAGCAGUGAGGAAUAUUGGACAAUGGGUGCAAGCCUGAUCCAGCCAUCCCGCGUGAAGGAUUAAGGUCCUAUGGAUUGUAAACUUCUUUUAUACAGGGAUAAACCUACUUACGUGUAAGUAGCUGAAGGUACUGUAUGAAUAAGCACCGGCUAACUCCGUGCCAGCCGCCGCCGUAAAAC